UGUAUAUAUGUGUCCUGAAUUAGGAACUAAAUCUGGAGCUAAAAAUCCUUUUUAACAAAUUCCUUCUUAAACUUCUUAAACUAAAACAGUGCACAUCCUAUUCGUUACUAAUAUAAGUUUUAUAAAGAUAGUCUUUUACAAUAAAACAAAGCUUUUCUGAAAAUAUGUUUGUAUAUCUUUGUUAUGUUUAAGGUGACUGACUGGAGGUCAUAGCUUCCCCUGUGUUUCACGUUACUGCUACCGUUCUGCUUAUCGCUAAUGAUGUCUGAUACGGUUGGUUUGUCCAAUAAGAGGAAGUGCGGCGGUUGUGUAACUCUCAUCUUGUUGUGCGACGUAUUUUAUAAUGGAUAAUGAUUAGAUAACGAUGGUUGUAGUAUUUAGAUAACAGCUUCAGAUCUUCUGUGCUGUAAUCAUAAGAAGUCCCAAGAACAGAUUGAGAUUUUAGCACAUUUGUUAUCGUAAUUAUAUGAAUAUUUUAAUAAUUGUAUUAUAUUAUAUAAUGAAUAUAUAUAAUAUAAUUUAAUUAUAACCUUUUGUGUGAACAGCUAUGACCUUGUUUGUCUCUUGCCUGUAACAAUAAAAUAAUUAGACUAACAGGACCAUGUGUGUUUUUUUCCCCCUGUGUGUUGUCUGCAGGACAGCGUAGUGGAGUUCAACAGGUUCGACCCUGCCUGCCUGUUACCCGCCAACACCGAUGACUACUGGACCUACCACGGCUCUCUGACCACACCCCCCCUGACCGAGUCCGUCUCCUGGAUCGUUAUGAAGCAGCACAUAGAAGUCAGCCACGACCAGCUGGCGGUCUUCCGGAGCCUCCUCUUCACCUCUGCCGAGGAGGACGUACAGAAGAGCAUGGUGAACAACUUCCGCGUGCAGCAGUCGCCCUGCGGCCGCACCGUCCGCUCCUCCUUCACUCCUUUCCUGCAGGAGGCUGCAGGCGACAAGCACUCCCACUGACGCCGCUGGACCCGGUACUCACAGGGACCAGAACUACCUUUCACUCUGUGAGCAACUGUCCACACUCCAUCUUUUAUUUUUAACUCCGUCACUACAAAAGGUUUCUCAUCUCAUUUGAAGCAGAAAACAUAUUUUGAAGUAUGACAAAGUUUCCUCACAGGAUCUUCAGUUCUACUUAUUGCUGUUUUUCUUUGAAGGAGUGAACAGAAUCCAUUUAUUUUUUAUUACAAACCUGUUUUACAUGGAGGGUGUAGGGAUACUUUGUUUUUUUUUUCCGAUUUUGGUUUUGAGUGCCGCAGACCAAUAACUAAUAAGGGAUGGCUGCUGUGGGGGGGAAUAUGUGGUUUUACUAACUUUGAUAACAGGAAUUGUGUUUAUUAUACGUUACAUGUUACUGUCCGUGGGGUUUGUAGCUGCAGCUCAGUCUGGAGAACGGCUGAGGCCAGAACUCAACAGCACCGUGUGCUGGCCACAGCCGGUACUACAGCAGAGUCUGCUCGUGAUGUUUCUGACUAUACAAGGAGGCUGCAGCUAGUUUACAGCAGAAAGCCCAGGUGAUUUUAACAGACUACACAAUGCAUAAUAAAUUGAAUAUCAUAAAGGGCUUUAAAAAUUCUAAUAAUAAUAUAUGGUGGGUUGUUGGGUUUUAUCAUUCAUUUUGUCAUCUAUACGUUAACAAGAUGAUUAGAAUGUAUGUUUUUUUUUUUUAAUCUGUUACAAAGAGAUUAUAGGAUACAUGCGACAUCCCUCUACCGAGCCUUGGGCCUUCUACUCAGAACUAAUACUCUCAAACAUGCCAGCUUACAGUAGCACACAUGCAUUUUAAGAACAUUCUGAUUGGAAGUAGCGUUUUUUUUUAGUUUUUUUUUUUAACCACAGUGCCUUAAAUAUUCUCUGUGUCGCUCCAACUCAGACAUGCGAGGCGAGUCUCCGCCGCGCGGUUCAGCGCGCAAAGUUGUCUCGGAGGAAUCGGUCGAGUCUGUGACGCGGCAGAGCUUCCACAACACACCGGUGUGUUUCGGCCACGAUGAGUUCAGGGACACGGUGGGGGAAUUAGGUAAACCGGCAACCGACUAGACUUUCAGCUCAACUGAUUGAAUCAUCUUUAUCCGGAGGGAACCCGUCCGUCUGGUUCUGUUAGCUUCCUGUUGAUCAAAGUAACGUGAUGAGAUGAAUCCAAUAUGAGAAAGAGUUGCAAAUACUGUAACGUAGAGUAUCUGAACUAGUCCAAACUGCUUUUAUGUGUUUUAAAUUUGAAUGUCAAGGAUACUUCAAUGAAUAGCUGUGGUAGGGCUGGAUUGACGGGUUGACCAGAGUGGGACCAACUGACCACAGCAGCCUUGUGUAUCACCUCGCCUGUUAGCCGGAGUCUAAAAAUAUCUUUAUAGUUUCUUUCACUGUCUGCAACUGUUAAGUGCAAUCUCUGGUUCAGGAUGUCUUCCAUCCGUCUUUGAGAAACAAUGCAGCGUGUUCCUGGGGUUUUCCUUCCAUAUCCUAAGUCACAUUGUCAUCUUAUGAAUGAUUUUAGUAAUACUAAACGACUUUGUACGACUCCCAAAGAAAUGAAGAAGCACAGCAACAGAAGUACUUGUUCUCUUGUGAAGUUGUUUCCCAGUUUUAUAGCCGUAAUCUCUGCUGUCUAAAAAUCUUCUCCAGCAUUUAUUGUUAUCCCAGACUUGCCUGAGAUAAAGGCUUAUGGGAAACGGUGUUCGUUAAAGGCCGCUAUAAACCAGAGAUAUUACAAACAACGAACAUGAAUACUGUCCCGUACUCUAGAUAAAGGCUCUGUGCCGAGGCUGGAUUGAAAGUAUUUGCAUAGUAACGAGUGUUCGUGGGAAGUUCCUCUUUCCCUGCGGCUCUAUUUGCGCGACACUUGAUGCAAUUUAUCCAGACCGACAGAAUCUCUACCCUAAAGUCAACCAAACACACCUUUGUGCGUCUUUUUUUUUUUUUUCUUCCCACUUAAUCCAAUAUCGCUGCAAGAACAAGAGCGAGAUGACGCAACCUUGCAUCGUGUAAAGAAGUCUGCCAUCUGUCGCUCUGUCAGCCCGACGACUCUCCCCAUGCAGCGCUAUUAGAAAAGAGAAGAAGAGGUUUGAUGAACGAGACAGGGAGAGGGAUGAAGAGGAAUGCUAGUUCUGAUUUGGAAACGGUACGUGAAAAGAUAUGUUCAGAUUCUCAGACAUGCUUUAGGACGGGGGAACUAUAAUUGCACUAAAAAGCCACGUGUAUCUGACUUCUUCUCAGUUUAUCUACACGUGAACUCACAGUUUGGGUUGAGAGCUGCCGUCUAUAUAAUCCCCCCGAGGAACAAUGCAACUGGCCCAAACUGGCCCUCCACCGCUAUAGAAAUAGCCGUUGCUCCUUUCCUGCAUGGACGUUCGCAUCAGACACACACACACACACACACACACACACACACACACACACUGAAUAGACUCAAUUGGAUAUGCGUCGAAAAGAUUAGCGAUGCGCUCCGAGUGAUGUUACGUCGUCGCGAAAGGCUGCAGAUUUGCCAGAUAGACGCCGAAGGAGUGGACUUGGUGUGGAAGUGUGAUGCCACUUCUGUUGCCUUUUUUCUUUUAUUCUUUUUUGUUCUGUUCUGAUGCAAUACAUAAUCUAUGUUCAAUGUAUUUUUUACUAACAAUGGAGACAAGGGACCCGGCACUGCCUUCAUCUUGUUCAGCUGUAUUUGUAUUGAAGUAUUUGAAAUGUGCACCAUGAUCUUCAUGUGCCUUCAUGUAAAUGCCCUUUUAAGAAAAAAAAAAAAAAAAAGAACAACUUCUAAUGCAAUGUAUAUCAUAAUAUUCCAGUAAAAAAUGUUCAAUCUGUAAAAACAUGUUUGUCUGCGUGGCCUUUUCUGUCAAGCUGGAAAAAAACAUCAGGAAUCAGUUGGACAUGAUCAUAGAUGGUUCAGAAUAAGUUUUUUUUUUUUUUUUUUUUUUUUUAGGUCUUCAGGAGUUCAACAUUUUUACAUCCUCUCCUGACUUAUAUUACGUCUGCCUCUCUAAACAUAUAGGUAUUACAGAAUGCUGUCAUCUUGCCGUUAUACACUCGUAGUGCAGCUUUCCUUGCCUUCUGCAGCUCCGUGUGAUGUUUUAGCAGGUGUAUGCUGUGCACUGUAUGCAUUGCAUAUUUUAACUGUUUGUUUGUAUAGUGGGCAGCCCACAUUCCUGCCCUGCAGGGCUUCACUGGGGGCCCCUUCUCCCCUCCCAGCAUGAUUUGCUCCACCUGGAUGGCUCUUUUACAGGCCCCUGUCCAGCUGAGCAACCAGGAUGUGUU